GACCAGAAAUGCUAAAUGUGUAUGAAAAGGAAAAAGGCUUUGAGUGCAUUCAUCCUACGAGACGCCUUAGGGGAAUUUGGCCCUAUACCCUUAUUUUAAACACCUUAGUGAAAAAUACCCCUGCCUUUUAAAACUUUUUUCAUCUACCCAUCUUUUUUUCAUUAUUCCAACUUUAUCCUUACUCUGUAAACCACGUGCAAUUUCUUUCUCUCACUGAUCAAUAUCUCACCUACCAUAUUCCACAUCCAGACAGAGCUUUUACAGCUUUAGCAGCUCACCUCUUCUUCUCUACUGCUUGUCUUCUACUGAUGUUCUUCCCUAACAUCUGUCUACAACCAAUCAGCUCCCUCUGGCUGUAAUCAGCGAUAUUUACCUUCUAGACUUCGUGGAUCCGUCUGGAUUUGUUCAGGAAAUCUCUUCCAAGGUCAGCAGAGUGGUGGUUUCAAAUCACUACAAGACCGCAGUAGAUUGCAGUGAGAGUUCUUGUUCAGUUGGUGAGAAUGUGGAGAGGGUUAUUGGCAUCCGGAGGAGUGGAGCUACUGUUGUUUUGGAUUAUUUCAAGGAAAGAGCUGGUAGUGGUCUAAAAGAUUUGAAUUUUGUUUCGAUGGGGGUUUGAUCUUUGAAUCCAUCUUCGUUCAAGCAGGCUUUUGCAUUUGCUUUUUUUGAAUUUGGAGGAUGUAAUUAGUCAAGCAUCAACCGGCUUAUCCUAGAAGCAGGAAUGAUUCUCUCGGCCAAUCGUAUGAGAUUGCUCUUGUGGCUGGAGCAUUUGGAGAUUGCCUGGCAUAGUCAAUAUAUCCUUCUCUCUCUCCAAACACGGGUCAUUUUUAUAUAUGUUCUUGUACUUAUUUGCCCCAGCGUAUAGAGGUAUUCUGUUAGGUAGAAGUGAAUCGAUGACUGAAUUCUUAGUGUACAGUCAUGUCAAGUUUAUACAUUUGUUUAUGUUAGAUUUGUCCUUCUAUAAGUAGGCUAUGAAAGCUGAUUCUGUAUUGGAGUUGAAGAGUGAACUUGGACAUAAAUUAGCCAACAAAAGCUGUAAUCUAAAGUUGAGGUGUUGAGGUAUGCAACUAUCUACCUAUAAAUAUGAUUGUCAAUGUAUUUGUAGCAUAUUUUCCUUUUUCUUGUUUAACAUUCAUUGAUUAGACAUUUUUUUUUUAUGUUAUUAGUUGACUUCAAUUUAUCCAUAGAAAAUAAGUAGGCUUGGAGUGUACGUUAGUUUCAAUCUAGUCUAAAGUUGUUAUUUUGCUAGAUGCACUAAUAGUUGUUGACAUGUUGUGGGCCUGAGGCAACUUAAGGACUUAAAUGACAUUGAUGAUUACAAUAGCUUCACAUUUCAUUGGAGAGAUUUCUUUUCUUGAAGAAUUUCUGUUCUUUUCUCCUUUGAAUGCAUUGAUUAUUGGCUCGCCACAUUUAAGCAUUUACAUGCCAGUUUUCUCGUAAUUAUAAUUCCUAUGGAAAAGCAAUGUUGAGGACCAAAACUGGUAAGUAUGGUGUUAAUUGCUUAGGAUAUUCUUUCUAGAGUUAUAAUGUGGUAGAUUGUUCUUUUCUCCAGUAAUAUAUAUUCAUGCAAUAGAGAAAUCAUACCUUAGUUCUCUCUGAUAAAUUGGAUAAGCCCUUUUGUCAGAGUAAAUAAUAGUCAGUCACUGGGCAUUGGAAAUCACUUCAACUCUAUGAUGAUGUGGUUCAGAUAAUACACCUAAUCUUUUCCUUGGUUAAGGAUUGAAUGCCAAUACUUCUGUAGAUUUGUGUUCCUACUUUCUUUUGAUUAUCUUUGAAGUGUCACAACUAAAAAUGCCUCUAGUGUCACAACUAAAGGACUAUAGGGGGUCACAGAAUAAUAUAAGAAUAGCUGCCAACCAAAAAAGUCUUUAUGAACAAGCCACUAAAGAAGUGAAUUUAAUAGCUCUUAUGAAAGCUCCAAUUUUUAAGUACUACAUUAUCAGAACGUCCCAUGUAGAAGAAUUCAAGCAUAUUCUCACCGUUAAAGGGUAUAGAAGAAUUCUAGCAUAGUCUCACCAUUAAAGGAUACAGAACACGCUUCCAUCUUACAAUACAGAGUUUAAAAGAACAGUGGCUGACCUGGUGAAGACACAGAUGGUGAUCAUUGAGGAUUUAUUCAUGGGUCAACCGUGAGGCCAUUGACCACUUUUGCUUGUUGAUGGCUAAUGCCACUUGUUUGGUAUUGAAUUGUAGUUAAUUGACUAGAACAAAUUGCUGGAGAAGCCUUGCAGUUUGUCUUAGUCAUUUCCUGUUCUAAGUGUCUUUUUUUUUUUUUUUUUUUGGUUGAUACUUAAGUGUCUUGUUUUGUAUCUAUUUAAUUGGCUUCAUAUGCAGAGUUAGGUCCACUCUCUAAUACCUUAAAAGUUUGUCAAAUUAAUGGCAAGGCUACCGUAGCCUAAAACCAGAAUGUCCACUAACAACAAUGUUAGACCAGAGAGUUGAUAGAGAGAGGGAUGAAAAAAAGAUAAUGCAAAGGCUAAUUAAUUAUGGGAUGGCUAUGCUUUAAUAAUAGUGAUGAUGAGUUUUAAAUAAUAUGUGUGAAAAUUUAAUGGAAAUUUGGAAGAGGAGCACUAUGAUAUGUAAUUUCCUUUGUUAAUUUAUUUCUCUUUAUAUGGUUUGGAGAAUCAACCAACCAAAAAGUUGGCGGCCCAGGUGACUCAUAGCUCCCCUCUUGCCGAUACCAAUACUCUUCAAAUUCGAUAUCCUUUUGUAGUGACCCUUUGAUAGGGUCUUUAUAAGCCUUUGUUGACCACCCUUAUCGCAAUGACUAGAGUAUAUUUAAUAUAGACUUUUGAAUAUUUUUAUGAACUUUUUUUAAGUGAUUACUUUUGCAAACUUCAUGAAAUUCUAUUUGGAAAAAGUACUUUUUUAUUAUAAAUUUUUAUGUUAUUGCAUAAUUCUAAUUUUAGCAAUAUAUUUAGUUUAAAUGUAAUGACCUUGAUUUAUUUAUUACUUAUGGUUCCUAGGCUUUUAUGAAGUUUUCUUAUGAAGUUCUUAUGCCACAAUCUGAUUUUUGCUACUGGAGCUACAGCUAGGUGGGGGUGUGUGUGUGCGUGUGUGUGUGUGUUUUUCUUCUUCUUUUUUCCCCCUUUGAAAGAAAAAUGUAGAAACAGGCGUGUAAAAUGUUUGAGGUCUAGGCCUUUUUAUCCAAGCUUGAGAUAUCCUUUGAUUUACUGGGUUUGUGAAUGGGAAAGUUUUGUUGUUUAGUCUAUUGGUGUGGUCCCCCUCCUUCCCUGCUCUAUUAUUAUUAUUAUUUCUAUAGGCUUAUUAAUUUCAUACCCAAGAAAAACAUAUUUAGGGUAGGUUUGACAUGGACUGAUCAUCUCCUCUAGAGUUGAAGGUGAUGGUAUGUGAUAUAAAAACCACAUGAAAAAAAUUACCGUUGUAGAGGUCAGAAGCCAAGUUGCUUUCAUGAGUUGAGUUAAUUAAACUUGUCAGCGCCUUGCUGUAGAAAUUGUUGCAAAUAUAUGACAGGCUUGUUGCCUUGUUAAUGAUUUUCAAGUUGAUAUUUCUAUAACUAUAUCAAAAUGGUUUGUAUAAGUCCUUAUAUUAUUAUUGGUUUACGGGGAUCAUUUAAAUCUUGUUAAAAUGUUUAAGAAGCAACUAGUAAUGUUUUUACAUAGAAAUCUUUUUCUAGGCUCAGCAGACAGAACUGUGAAAUUCUGGGAUUUUGAAACCUUCGAACUGAUUGGAUAUACAAGCCUCGGAGUCACCGCAUUCGAUGUCUACUUGGUGAGUGAGCAGGUCUGCAGCCGAAGAGAGCUUGGGAGAGAGAAGAGAAAGAGAGAGAGAGCAGGUCUGCAGCUGGUGUUCUUUCUUAUAUUUUUUAUCAUUAAAGAAUGUUGCACUCAACAUGUUCUAUGGUGUAAUACAUUGUUAAAAAAUAAUUGUAAAUUUGGAUGAUUUGUGAAAGAAAAAUUUAAACGCAAUUUUGAUGAUAAUUAAAAAUAUCCUCACCUUAAAAGCA